CCUACGGGAGGCAGCAGUAGGGAAUCUUGCGCAAUGGGCGAAAGCCUGACGCAGCCAUGCCGCGUGAAUGAUGAAGGUCUUAGGAUUGUAAAAUUCUUUCACCGGGGACGAUAAUGACGGUACCCGGAGAAGAGGCCCCGGCUAACUUCGUGCCAGCAGCCGCGGUAAUACGAAGGGGGCUAGCGUUGCUCGGAAUUACUGGGCGUAAAGGGAGCGUAGGCGGAUAGUUUAGUCAGAGGUGAAAGCCCAGGGCUCAACCUUGGAACUGCCUUUGAUACUGGCUAUCUUGAGUACGGGAGAGGUGAGUGGAACUCCGAGUGUAGAGGUGAAAUUCGUAGAUAUUCGGAAGAACACCAGUGGCGAAGGCGACUCACUGGCCCGUUACUGACGCUGAGGCUCGAAAGCGUGGGGAGCAAACAGGAUUAGAUACCCUGGUAGUCCACGCUGUAAACGAUGAGUGCUAGUUGUCGGCAUGCAUGCAUGUCGGUGACGCAGCUAACGCAUUAAGCACUCCGCCUGGGGAGUACGGUCGCAAGAUUAAACUCAAAGGAAUUGACGG
rnacentral:rRNA from 1 species